GGAUGCGCGCUAACAUGCAAGUCGACGAUGAUCCCCGCUUGCUGGGGGAUUACUGGCGAACGGCUGAUUAACACUUGAGUAACCUGCCCUUAACUCUGGGAUAAGCCUCGGGAAACUGGGCUCUAAUACCGGAUAUGAUUCCUCAUCGCAUGGUGGGGGGUGGAAAGCUUUCUUGUGGUUUUGGAUGGACUCAUGCCCCAACCUCUUGUUGGUGAGGUAAUGGCUCCCCAAGGCCACCACCGGUAGUCGGCCUGAAAAGGUGACCCGCCACCCUGGAACUGAGACAUUCCCCACACUUCUACGGGAGGGAGUCAGUCGGGGAAUAAUUGCCCAAUGGGCGAAACCCUUACGCCUCACGCCCCGUGAGGAAAGACGCCCUUCAUUCUGUAAACCUCUUUUUUGAGGGAAAAAGCCUAACUGCCCCCCACCUGUCCAAAAAGCAUCCCGCUUACUCAAAGACCCACUGCCCUACCUUCCAACCCAAGCGGGUCCCGGUUUGUUCCCGAAAUUGUUUAGCCGUUAAAUCAAAUCUCUACAUGCGGCUUCUAUACCCCCCCUCCCCCCUGGAAUACUCUUAGGAUCUGCAUCCUCUCACGACUCCUCCGGGUGUCGUCACCUGGCCAAUACUUUAUCACUUCACCCUUUACGUCAACCACUCAGCACAUCUCCCCGAGAGGUCUCCCAUUAUAAACUCCCGCCACAUCUCCCCAGGUAGAACACCACCCGCACCCCCCCAAGUCCUAGUUUCUCUCUGGCCUUUAAUCUUCUCCCCUCCUCUAACCUCUAGAUAUUGUCGCCGCC
rnacentral:rRNA from 1 species